AAGACUAUAGACCUGCGGAGUACCUGCGGAAGGAUCAUUACAUGGCGGAGGAGGUGGGCACCUAGUAAAAACAAAACCCUAGGUGUGUUGCCUACCACGCUUUCUACCCUUGCCUAUUUGCACCUUUUGUCGUUCCCUCGGUGGGUCUUGAACCUGCCGGCGGCAACUUUCAAAAACCUUUUGUAGUUAGUAUCUAAUUCUUCUGAUCAAAUAUUCAAUCGUUACAACUUUUAGCAAUGG
rnacentral:misc_RNA from 1 species